ACAAAUGUUACUUUCAUUUCAUUCAGCUUUUCUAGUUGUUGCUCUUGGAAGUAUUGGUAUUAAUAGACAGAAAUGAGAGUCCUGGGGCCACUUCUUGUAAGAAGUAAAAGUUUCAGGCAGGUGUUCAUAGCAACCAAUGAAAUAAGCAGAGGUGCUGUAGAGAACUCUGGAAAGUUCCCAGAAGGGCAGUCCUUACCAUCAAUAUCAUGAGCUGACCCUUGGCUGCAAUUGAAGAGGCUGCUGCAUCUCAGCAGAUCAGAAUCAUCUGUAAUAUCUUAUUUGAAGAGAUGAAAUGACUACAUGCUUUAUCCAGCAUCACUCCCAAGAAUGUGAAGGAGACCGCUCUUUAAUACAUCACGGAGAGACAGCUUCUUGAGCAUGAGCCAGAAAUGAGUUCCUCAUAAAAGAUCCAGGUCAGAGCAUAAGCACUGGGCCAGUGUAGCUCCAAUGUCACUGGUGUGCUGCGUCCUGCUCUUACCAGCUCAUGAAAACCUCUUGUGUGUAUCUUUUCUCAACUCUGUGUUCAGUAACAUCACAUUAGCACCAUGAAAUUGGCCAUGAUGGGAAUAUUUACACCAUGGAAAUCAGCAAGCACUAUAAAUCAGAGCCUUGUUUUACUCAGAGAGCUGAUUAUAAAACAUUAGCCAGCAUAUUACCACCCAGAGGAGGUGAAUGGCAGAACACUAGGGCCAGAUUUCAAACCCUGUAUUAGGCUUGUAUGCUGAGGGCUGACUCAGUAACAGGCAUCAUGUCAAACUCUUUGCACGUGUUCCAUCAUUUAAUCCUCACAAUAAAACUGUGAGAUCAGAUGAUGGAGAGUAGGAGAUUUUGUGUAACCUGCUUAAGACCGCAGAGCAACCUAGGUCAGUCUGGUCCUCACAUCUUUGUUCUUAACUACUGCACUAAACAUUCUCCCUGCAGCUGCACAAAAUGGGAGGACAAACCCUAGACUAAAUGGAUUGGGAGGUUUUUAGUUACUGAGGGCAGAAAACAUAGUAUGGCAGAGUCCAAGAACUGGUGUUGGAACUGAGCACAUAGCAAGUCUACAUAUGACAAUGCAAACAGACCCUGAGGCAGGGCCUACAGGUUCCCAGUGAGCAGAAAAGCAAACUCAAAUAAGCUGGGAGGCAGUAGCCAGUCUUGGAUGCAUCUGUGGCUGAUGGGCAUAGUGCAAUGACACAGGAAACUAGAAUCAGCAAUAUGACAUGGCCACAUGCCAGCAGUAGCAGGAACCUGCCCGUGGGGCUUGGCGGCAGUUCUCUGCACUCACAGUGAGUGAUUUCCAAGAGCUAUGCAUAUCUGUCAAAGGAAUUUAGGUUCUAGGUGGGUUUUUCAGUCUGGGACUUGGUGAUGAUCCAGAGUUCCUGCUUUCAGGAAGAGGCAAUUUGAUCAGAAUAGAACUAGCAGAACAGAACUCAGGAUUAUACAAAGAUUCUGCAGUGUAGAGGGGUAGAGGUUCUUAGCUACGGAGAUGUCCCUGCCAAGACCUAAAAGCUGGGAGAGAAGGGACACCCAGAAUACUGAGAACUAAGCAGGCCUGGAACAAUGCCAAGGCAGGAUACAGGCAUUUCAGAUGUGCCAGCAGAGGCUAACAAAAUAUGAAUCUAUCCUCUUCUGGAUAAACCCGAGAGAUUUCAGAUGGGUGGGAGUACCUGGAAUGGACUAUGUGGUUAUCCAUAGUGUGUAAAAUCUACAUGUUUUGGAGCAUAUUUUUAUUCUUAAAAAAUAGUGCUACAGAUUAUGGUGGAUAAUGCAGGUGCCCCACCACAUCCCCUAGCUGCCGUGAAUGUUGACUGCUGGAUAGUAUUCCAUCUACCUUGCUUCUUGCUUCUCUCAUUCUUCUUUUCUUAAGAGAAGCACUUCAACAAGAAUUCUUCUCAGGCUCUGCUUUUGGGGAAAGCAACCUAAGACACAGGUUCAUGAUGCUCUCUCUGGCCACCUUCCAGACAGGAAGAAAGAGCAGAGGAUCACUGUGAGAGGAAUUUGAGGAUCAAAUCCUGAAGUGGUACAUGUCACUACUGUUCAUAGUCUCUUUGCUGGAACUUGGUCCUAUGGCCCUACUGGCAGAGAGGAAGGCUAUGAAACCCAGUCUAGGCCUGCGCCUAGAAGAAGAAGAAGAAGAAACACCUUUUGAAGAACAGAGAGCAGUCUCUGUCAUACCAGGAGUACCUGUCACAUACUUGUAGAACAAAAAUCAGUAACAUUUUAAUUAUUGAAACAAUGUAACAACUUUAAACACAGUUUCAUAACUAGGAGUGAAUCACCCAUAAUCUCAUACCCGGAACAAAAUAUCUGUUAGUAUGAUGCACCUUUACAUAGCUGUAAUCUUAAAGGGCAUGUACUUCCUUCUUUGCUUUCCUUUUUUUUUUUCUUCAUCCUUUCCCUCUCUCCCUCUCUCCCUCUCUCCCUUUCUCCCUUCCUUCUUUCUUUUCUUCCUUUCUUUCUGAUUUUCUAACUUCCUUCUUUAAACAUUCCUUGAUCGUCUGUGGGUCUGGACAGCAACAUGGAGAUCAAUUAGGCGCAGCAUUUUAAAUUUGCCCUCAAGAAGUUCCACUAGUGUAAGAGUAGGCAAGUAACCAAUUAUUACAAUAGUGGGACAAGCGCUGUGAUAGAAAUAAAUACAGAGUACUGUGGCAGUCCUUACCCAGAAAAAGAUAUCUAGGGUAGAUGGUAUCUGAACUGAGAAUUAAAGAAUAAAUAGAAGAUAGCAUGGCAAAAAAAGUUCAAGAGUGUUCCAUUCUUUGAGAAUAGGGCAUUGAGAUAGAACCUGUAGACAUGAGAUAGAACUGUGUGCAUCCUGGAAAUUGCACAUGGUUCAGAUUGAUUGGGAAAUAGAGUGUGGAUGGGAAGUGAUGAAAGCUGAGUCAGUAGAGUUCGAUGGGGGUCAAAUUGUGAAAGAGUGUGAGCUCUGCUAAGGAGAUGAUAUUUUAGCUUAAAUACCAGAAGAGCCAUUGAAUUAUUUUAAGCAUAGGAGUGAUCUAAUCGGAACUCUGCUUGAGAAAGAUAACCCUGGUUGCUGUGUGAAAAAAUAUACCAGAGGCAAACAAAGUUGAAGCCAGGAGACCAGUUAAAAGACAAAAUUCAUAAUUUAUAUGAGAUAUGAUGAUAGUUUGACUUAGGCUGUGAUUGACAUUGCAGAGUAACAUAUCGCAUUCAAGAGAUGUUUGGAUGAUGAAACCAAGAGGGCUUGGAAAUUGAUUGGAUAUGAGGCAUUAGAGGAAUAUGUUAGGGCUAGAUCCCAGGAUUCUGGUUUAGAUAAUUGGAUAGACAAUUAAAGCAGAAACUAUUGAAGAAGGGGAGAAGAUAAAGAGUUUUGAUUUUCAUUUCAAUUCUAAGGUAUUCUUGGAAAUAUAAGUAGAGGAUGCUGAUGGGGGUUGGUUAUAAAGCAAAUUCAAGAGUGAGACUUCUGGAGUUAAGAUACAUAAUCGGAUCUGUAAGAAUGAAAGAAAGAAGUUGUUCAGGGACUAUGUGUACAGUAUGAAGACCAACAUAUAAAUGAAAUAUAAAAGAACAAAAGCUGACAAUGGAGUCUGUGAAAGAGCAAACAAAAAAAUGAGGAAGAGAACAGAGCAUGAAGUCACAGAAACCAAGGGAAGAAAAUUUUAGAUGCCGAUCAAAGAUCAAGGAAAAUAAAGAUAAAAAUGUGUCAAUUAGAUUUGGUAUUAAAGAAAGCAUUAGUAUCUUUUUGAAUACAAUUUUAUGGCUGCAUGGCAAAGAAUCAGAUGACUGGAAUCAGGAAGUGAAUAGAAAGUGAGAAAUGAAAAGGGCUCUCGAUAAGGUUUCCCUUAUUGAGAUAGGAGGUAAGCUCUAAUGUUUAUUUGAAGUUUUUUUUUUUCUUCCAAAGCUGGGAAAGAUUUAAUAAAGUAUGAAUGCUUUUAAGGAAAAGUUUGUAGACAGAGAUUUUUUGACAAUAGUAGAGCAAAUCAUGGCGAAAUAAUUGAUAGGAUGAGGUCCCAAGAAAGCAAGAACACUCCUUGAGGAAGAAGCUUUCCAUUUUAACAGGCAGUAACAAAGAGCAAUGAAUCAGGAUGAGUCUACGUUUGUCAGUUUAGAGUGGAAAUUGUUGGUAGAGCUCAUGGGACAACUCCUAUUUUACUUGUGACAAAAGCUUAACUGCUGAGAGCAAACAGGGUGGUGGGAUCAGCUAUUAUUUUUAAAUGGAGAAAUUUAAAAAUCACAAUUGCGAAGUAAAAUCUUUCAAGAAAGAUAGAAGAGGAAUACUGCUUAGUGCUGUGCGCCUCUUUGAAGUCAGAGUUGAUGCAGUGACCACCAUGCCAAGGGCUGCUUCGGGGCUUUCUCCCACAGCGCUCAUUGAGCUAUGUGAGAAGGCGAAGAUGGAAAAUAGGUGAAUGACAGCACACAUAUCACACGAGUUUGGCAAGAGGAUAAGUGAGGCAAGGGUAGCAGCAAGAGAGUGAAGAAAAUGCUCAGCCAGAAAACCUAAGCUGACUAUGAAAGAAGGAAAACAGUUCCACAGACUGGAGAGUUGCAAGAGAUACAGAUUAAGCAACAGUAAUUAACUGAAGAAGAAUUAAUUAACUGAAAGAAGUAAUUAACUUCUUUCUUAGAAGAAGAAGAAAAAACGGUAAUAUCCUGAGCAUGUAUGUUUUACUUUACUAUGACAUAAAGAGUCCACGGAGAUCUAAAUAAAUAUUUGUUGAAUGAUGAACGAGUGGAUUUUUCUGUGUGCACAUAUAAACUUUCACCUGUUAUUAUACACCUAGGUUGCUUUUAUUUUCAGUUUGUUUUUGAAAUUAUCAGUAGAGUUUUUCUUUCAGAGUGUACAGUUCUAUGCUUUUAAAAUUAAUAUACAUUAUUUUUAAAGCAGCUUUACAUUUACAGAAAAAUUGAGCAGAAAGUUGAGUUUCCAUAUACUACUCCUCUCCCCCAUACCCUGCACACAGUUAACAUCUUGCAUUCAUGUGGUACACUUGUUAUCGUUAAUGAACCAAUAUUGGUAUAUUAUUAUUAAUUAAAUUCCAUAUUUUACAUUAGGGUUUACACUUUGUGUUACACAGUACUAUGGGUGUUGACAAAUAUAAAUGUUAUGUAUCUACCAUUACGAUAUCAUACAGAAUAGUUUCACUGCCUUAAAAGUCCCCCGGGCUCCACCUACUCAUGCCUACCUUCUUCUCAUCCACCCUUUUCCUAGCAACCCUUCAUCUCUUUAUUGCCUCUAUAGUUUUUUCUAAUUUGAAGUCAUAUAGUUAAAAUUGUACAGAAUAUGGCCUUUGCAGACUGACUUCAUUAACUUAGUACUAUGCAUUUAAGAUUAUUCUAUGUCUUUUUUGUGGCUUGAUGGCUCAUAUAAAAAAAUCUGAAUAAUAUUCCAUUGUAUGGAUGUAUCAUAGUGUAUCCAUUCACUUAUUGAAGAAUGCCUUGGCUGCUUCUAAGAUUUGACAGUUCUAAAUACAGCUGCUAUAAAUGUCUGUAUGCAGGUUUUUGUGGGACAUCAGUUUUCAAAUAAUUUGGGUAAAUUUACUUGGUGAUUGCUGGAUUGUAUGGUAAAAUGAUGUUUAGCUUUGUCAGAAAUCACCAGACUGUCUUCCAAAAUGCUGAAUCAUUUUGCAAAUCCCACUAUCAAGGAAUGAAUGUUUCUGUUGCUCCAUGUCCAUGUGAGCAUUGGAUGUUGUCAGAGUUUAAAAUUUUAGCUGUUCUGAUAGGUGAGCAAUGGUUUAUCAUUGUUAUUUUAAUUUGUAAUUAACUAAUGACGUGUUGUUGAGUAUCUUUUUGUAUGCUAUCUGUAAAUCUUUGGUGAAUUACUUGUUCAGAUCUUUUGCCCAUUUUAGUUGAGUUGUUUGCUUUCUUAUUUUUGAAGUUUAAGAGUUCUUUGCAUAUUUUGUAUACUAGCCAUUGGAUAGCUGAUAGGCAAUUGUUUUUUUCUCAGUCAUUCUCCUAACAGUGUCUUUGACAGAGCAGAAGUUCUUAAUUUUAAUGAAGUUCAGCUUAUCCAGUUUCUCUUCAUGGAUUGUGCU
rnacentral:lncRNA from 1 species